rnacentral:rRNA from 1 species
UACGUAGGGUGCGAGCGUUGUCCGGAAUUAUUGGGCGUAAAGAGCUUGUAGGCGGUUUGUCGCGUCUGCUGUGAAAAUCCGGGGCUCAACCCCGGACUUGCAGUGGGUACGGGCAGACUAGAGUGUGGUAGGGGAGACUGGAAUUCCUGGUGUAGCGGUGAAAUGCGCAGAUAUCAGGAGGAACACCGAUGGCGAAGGCAGGUCUCUGGGCCACUACUGACGCUGGAGAAGCGAAAAGCAUGGGGAGCGAACAGG